rnacentral:tRNA from 1 species
UCCCUGGUGGUCCAGUGGUUAGGACUCUGCACUCCCAAUGCAGAGGCCCAGGGUUUGAUCCUAGUCAGGGAA